GGUUGGAAGGCACCUCAAAAUUUAAUCCAUGUUGAGGAUUUUUUGGUAACCUUUUUCAUACAAGUGGUGAUUAUGGUAAUUCAUUUGGAUUAAAUGCAACCUAAAAAGGAUAUGAUGAGAAUUUGAGGUUUGGUUGCCAAGAUGAACUUUAGUGGUUACAUGAUGUCAUAGGAUCCAUCUCUGACUUUGAGGAACAGGUUUCAGUUCUUUGGGGAUUAACAAGAAUAAUCACUUGGCUUGGUUGGAAAAUGUGACAGCAUCUGUCAUAUACGUAUCUGAAUCUGUAGCCAUGGGAUGCCCUCCUUUGCUCUUAUUUCAGUGAUACAUUAUUAUAGUAUUACCAAGUCUAUAGAACUGAUGCUAUGUAUAUGUGCAC
rnacentral:misc_RNA from 1 species